rnacentral:misc_RNA from 1 species
GCUUCGUCUUUGGGCAUCAUACAGGGGUCAGACAUUGACUCGUACAGUCAGAGGUAUGAUGUACUAUCGAAAAGCAUUGGAACUUCAAUCAUUUCUCGAUAUGGCCAAAGAUGAAGAGAUUAUGGAAGGCUAUAAGGCAGUUGAACUGACAUCAGAAGAACACUCGAAAGUUGGAAGAUCUUUGCCAGCACAAUGCCAAGCUGUAGCUGAUAUGAAG